CUUUUUCUACCAUGGACCACCAAAAAAAGGCAGAUAUUAUGUGCCAUAAAAGUCACAAAAAUUUCAAAAAAAAAUUGAAUAAAAUCAGUGCCAUAAGGAAAGAAUUUUAGUUUCCUAAAACUCUAUCUCAUAGAAUUUGAAAUCCAAACUAAUUCCUACUUUGACUUGAUCCACAACCACAUUCCAUGUAAAAGAAAAAGAGAGGAAAGUUUUGGGCAUGUGUGAAGACUUGGG
rnacentral:lncRNA from 1 species